AACGAACGCUGGCGGCGUGUUUAAGACAUGCAAGUCGCACGGGAUCAGAACUGUAGCAAUACUGGUCUGGUUUAGUGGCGCACGGGUGAGUAACACGUGAAUUACAUGCCCUUCAGUGGGGGAUAGCCCAGGGAAACUUGGAUUAAUACCCCAUGGCCUCGCAAGAGUAAAGGUGGCCGCAAGGCUGUCGCUGGAGGAUUGGUUCGCGCCCUAUCAGCUUGUUGGCGGGGUAACGGCCCACCAAGGCUACGACGGGUACCUGGUCUGGGAGGACGAUCUGGCACACUGGAACUGAGACACGGUCCAGACACCUACGGGUGGCAGCAGUCGAGAAUAAUUCACAAUGGGGGCAACCCUGAUGGUGCAACGCCGCGUGGAGGAUGAAUGUCUUCGGAUUGUAAACUCCUGUCAUCCGGGAGCAAGACCUGGGAGUUAAUAGCUCACAGGGUUGAUAGUACCGGAAGAGGAAGGGACGGCUAACUUCGUGCCAGCAGCCGCGGUAACAC
rnacentral:rRNA from 1 species